rnacentral:tRNA from 1 species
GGGAAUAGUUUAUGUAGAAC